UUAACGUGGCGGUGCGCCCUGGGUGUGUCGCCGGAGCUCCCUUUGGCGUCAGUGCUAGGUCCCGGAGUUUAACUUUUCAGAGCUACUCGUUUGUCUCUGCUCGUCUGCGGUUGUCAUGCGCCACACUCCACCGCUAUUUUCGUAGGUUGUUUCACCGGAUGUCUUGCUUUUGGAUUCGAGUGUGUGUCAUGGAUCCCGGUCAACUAGGGAAAUCAAAUACAGUCUUGUGUUUUUAACAGGACACCAGCAGCCCAGAUGCCAUUUGGAGGUGUCUUGAGUUGCGGUCGAGUUGAAGAACAGAAGCCUAGAUACACAGCUUCGUAAAUUGUGAUGUGCAGGGGAAAGGUAAGACUGGAAAGGUAAGGACAGGUCAGAUCGUGAACGCAUCCCUUCUGAGGACUUUAAGCUCUAAUGAGAAUUAAAAGGGAUGAGCUGAAGUUUUCUAAUCUAUAAAGAGACUUUGGUAGCAGGAUGGGCAUGGUUUGUGGACAGUAGAGAAUCCCAGAUACCUUAUCAAUUCAGAUUCCUCUCAUGUGGUAGGUAAAACUGGGAGUACUUUAGAAUGUUUUCAAUGAAACAAAGGACUGAAAUCUGACGACUGAAGAACACCAUUUCAAGCAUUGAAGAAAAAGGAGUUAGGAAGUACUAAAAAAAUGUAGAUAAAUGAGGAGACAUGAAAAUCACAGAAGCUGAGACAACAGUGGUGUACAGUGUUAACAUGCUGCAGAAAAAUCAGAAACUAGUAAACAAGAAGAUUCCCUCCUGAUUAUCUGAAGUGUAAAUUGUCAACAUCUGUGACACAGUUUCUCCCCCUUCCUUCAGGAAGCAUCCUUAACAUCCAUUCGCUUUGGGUUUUUGUAAUACUUACAGAAGGAAGGAUGCUACAGCCUAACUGGGUGGACUACCUGUGGAUUCAUCUGGUAAUUUGUGACACUAAUGAUUUUGUAAGUGGACUGUUUGUGUGGAUACUUGUUAAAUUGCAAUAUGGGCACAUAAGCAGGCAUUAGCGGCACAUGUAUUAAAUGGAAUUUUGUAAGGGAGGAAAAAAAAUCAUCUAUAACUUAAAGUAUUUUUGUUAAAUUUAACUGGAAUUUUUUUGGAAACUGGUUUCCUUAAUAUGC